rnacentral:lncRNA from 1 species
AAAGAUCUAUGCAGUAGCCAUACUAGCAUGGUUAUUCAAUUCUGUUCAUUAAGCAUAUACAUAGUAAAAUCAAACGGAUAUACAACAGGACCCAAUUUACUAUGGUAAACCCUCAGCCGGACCAUUCAGAAGAACUUGAUGAACCCAGGAUCCAAUUCCCAUAUAGAUUAACUAAAUUUGAUGUAGUGAAGAAAGCAUUAAAGAAGCUCCCAUCUAAGGUGAUGUACUUGAGAGAACCGACGAUUUACAAGUUAUUAGCAAACAGGAAAGAUAAAAAGAGCAAACAUGAAAGAGCAGCUGUAUAUUCUAUCCUGAUAAUAAACCAUACAAAUUCUUGUAAAGUAUAUAGAAGUAACUAGUAGAUCAAUAAAACAAUAUCUCCAGGAACAUAAAUCUGACUUACAACUUCAUAUGAAUAAGCAAAAAUGGUUCAACAUGGCAGUUGUGCUUGGUGGGCC